UUGCUGGUGGCGGGCUCAGAUAUUUUACCUUGAGAAAAUUAGAGUGUUUCAGGCAGGCUAGGCCGGAAUACAUUAGCAUGGAAUAAUGGAAUAGGACUACGGUCUCUUUGUUGGUUUGAGGGACUGCAGUAAUGAUUAAUAGGGAUAGUUGGGGGCAUUAGUACUUAACUGUCAGAGGUGGAAUUCUCAGAUUUGUUAAAGACUGACUUAUGCGAAAGCAUUUGCCAAGGAUGUUUUCAUCGAUCAAGAACGAAAGU
rnacentral:rRNA from 1 species